rnacentral:rRNA from 1 species
UACGAAGGGGGCUAGCGUUGUUCGGAAUUACUGGGCGUAAAGCGCACGUAGGCGGAUACUUAAGUCAGGGGUGAAAUCCCGGGGCUCAACCCCGGAACUGCCUUUGAUACUGGGUAUCUCGAGUCCGGAAGAGGUGAGUGGAACUCCGAGUGUAGAGGUGAAAUUCGUAGAUAUUCGGAAGAACACCAGUGGCGAAGGCGGCUCACUGGUCCGGUACUGACGCUGAGGUGCGAAAGCGUGGGGAGCAAACAGG